rnacentral:rRNA from 1 species
UACAGAGGUGGCAAGCGUUGUUCGGAAUUACUGGGCGUAAAGGGCGCGUAGGCGGCCUUCUAAGUCAGACGUGAAAUCCCCCGGCUUAACCUGGGAACUGCGUCUGAUACUGGGAGGCUUGAGUAUGGGAGAGGGAUGUAGAAUUCCAGGUGUAGCGGUGACAUGCGUAGAUAUCUGGAGGAAUACCGGUGGCGAAGGCGACUCACUGGACACAUAUUGACGCUGAGGUGCGAAAGCGUGGGGAGCAAACAGG